rnacentral:sRNA from 1 species
GCUGGGCAUGGUGGCACAUGCCUGUAAUCCCAUCAACUUGGGAGGCUGAGGCAGGAGGAUUGCAAGUUCAAAGCCAGCCUCAGCAAAAGUGAGAUGCUAAGCAGCUCAGUGAGAUCCUAUCUCUA